rnacentral:rRNA from 1 species
UACAGAGGGUGCAAGCGUUAAUCGGAAUUACUGGGCGUAAAGCGCACGCAGGCGGUUUGUUAAGUCAGAUGUGAAAUCCCCGAGCUUAACUUGGGAACUGCAUUUGAAACUGGCAAGCUAGAGUCUUGUAGAGGGGGGUAGAAUUCCAGGUGUAGCGGUGAAAUGCGUAGAGAUCUGGAGGAAUACCGGUGGCGAAGGCGGCCCCCUGGACAAAGACUGACGCUCAGGUGCGAAAGCGUGGGGAGCAAACAGG